rnacentral:rRNA from 1 species
AUUGAACGCUGGCGGCAGGCCUAACACAUGCAAGUCGAGCGGCAGCGGAAAGUAGCUUGCUACUUUGCCGGCGAGCGGCGGACGGGUGAGUAAUGUCUGGGAAACUGCCUGAUGGAGGGGGAUAACUACUGGAAACGGUAGCUAAUACCGCAUAACGUCGCAAGACCAAAGAGGGGGACCUUCGGGCCUCUUGCCGUCAGAUGUGCCCAGAUGGGAUUAGCUAGUAGGUGGGGUAACGGCUCACCUAGGCGACGAUCCCUAGCUGGUCUGGGAGGAUGACCAGCCACACUGGAAAGGAGAAACGGUCCAGACUCCUACGGGAGGCAGCAGUGGGGAAUAUUGCACAAUGGGCGCAAGCCUGAUGCAGCCAUGCCGCGUGUAUGAAGAAGGCCUUCGGGUUGUAAAGUACUUUCAGCGGGGAGGAAGGUGUUGAGGUUAAUAACCUCAGCAAUUGACGUUACCCGCAGAAGAAGCACCGGCUAACUCCGUGCCAGCAGCCGCCGUAA